rnacentral:rRNA from 1 species
UACGUAGGGUGCGAGCGUUGUCCGGAAUUACUGGGCGUAAAGCGCACGUAGGCGGAUUUGUAAGUCAGGGGUGAAAUCCCGGGGCUCAACCCCGGAACUGCCUUUGAUACUGCAAAUCUCGAGUCCGGAAGAGGUGAGUGGAAUUCCUAGUGUAGAGGUGAAAUUCGUAGAUAUUAGGAAGAACACCAGUGGCGAAGGCGGCUCACUGGUCCGGUACUGACGCUGAGGUGCGAAAGCGUGGGGAGCAAACAGG